UACCUGCAGCUCAAGUGGUAACCGCUAUUAUUGGGCCUAAAGCGUCCGUAGCCGGUUUGGUAAAUAUCUGGGUAAAUCGUGAGGCUUAACUUCACGAAUUUCGGAUAGACUGCCAGACUUGGGAUCGGGGGAGGUCAGAGGUACUCCAGGGGUAGCGGUGAAAUGUUGUAAUCCUUGGAGGACCACCGGUAGCGAAGGCGUCUGACUAGAACGAGUCCGACGGUGAGGGACGAAGCCCUGGGGCGCAAACCGGGAUUAGAUACCCGGGUAGUCCAGGGUGUAAACGAUGUGGGCUUUGUAUUGGAGGUCCCACGUGGGCGUCCAGUGCAGAAGAGAAGUUGUUAAGCCCACCGCCUGGGAAGUACGGUCGCAAGGCUGAAACUUAAAGGAAUUGGCGGGGGAGCACAGCAACGGGAGGAGCGUGCGGUUU
rnacentral:rRNA from 1 species